rnacentral:tRNA from 1 species
CAAAAUAUAGCUUUAUAGUGAAGUAUUUCGUUUACAUUGAAAGGAGUCUUGUGCAAUUCAGGAUGUUUUGA